rnacentral:rRNA from 1 species
UACGUAGGGAGCAAGCGUUGUCCGGAAUCAUUGGGCGUAAAGCGCGCGUAGGUGGCUCUAUAAGUCCGUUGUGAAAGUCACAGGCUCAACCUGUGAAUGCCGCUGGAAACUGUCUGGCUUGAGUCCGGAAGGGGCGAGUGGAAUUCCUGGUGUAGCGGUGAAAUGCGCAGAUAUCAGGAGGAACACCGGUGGCGAAGGCGGCAUCCUGGACCAACACUGACGCUGAGGAGCGAAAGCCAGGGGAGCAAACGGG